ensembl:lncRNA
AUCCCAAACAGCCAGGCUGGGAUGGUGAACUAUAAUUUAUAUCAUUUUUCAUAUGGGUUAUAGGCUCCAAAGGCUUAGACUCCUUCAAAUGGGAACCACAUUGAAGAAGGGGUAAACCAAUGUUAAGAAAUCUGGUCCCAGGAAGCCACCUGCUUCUCAUUUGGGAUGUUCCUGGGUUUAUUGUUUGUUUCCAAGGCCCAGCUGGAUUUGAGAGAUGGCAGGGCAGCCAUGGAUCACUGCCCUUGCCAGGCGUCCAUGCUGAGGCUGGGGUGAGCCUCCACUCUGAGUGCUCGGAGCCUCUGGCGUGCCUGCACGUGGAGCUCUGUGGGGGAAGCUGUGUGGGAGCACGCUCUCUUUGUACUCGCAUGUCCCCAUGGAGCAAAGCCAGCUGGAGACAACCGAGUCUGAGCAAAGCCCCACGGCCUGUGGGAGGCCUGGUGCCCCAGGCUGGUUCGGGGGAGCAGGAUCUCUGCGCCUCCCCCAGCCACUGCUUCUUGCAAACUGAGAGGCAGGGCAGCAAACAGCCCAGGAAGCUGGCUGCAGUGAAGAUGAAUGAACCGAAGCUCCUCACGACAACAUGGAUGGAUCUUAAGCACAUGGUGUUGAGUGAAAGAAUACAAAUGAUGGACUCCAUUCAUACAUGGUCCCAAACCAGCAUUCUUCAUGUCCAUUAUCUGAUCUCCCAACCCAUGGAGAAGACUGACAUCGAUAUGGUGGCCAGCACAAGCCCCAGAUAAG